GACGAACGCUGGCGGCGUGCCUAAUACAUGCAAGUCGAACGCAUUUUCUUUCACCGUAGCUUGCUACACCGAAAGAAAAUGAGUGGCGAACGGGUGAGUAACACGUGGGUAACCUGCCCAUCAGCGGGGGAUAACACUUGGAAACAGGUGCUAAUACCGCAUAAUUCCAUUUACUGCAUGGUAGAUGGAUGAAAGGCGCUUUUGCGUCACUGAUGGAUGGACCCGCGGUGCAUUAGCUAGUUGGUGGGGUAACGGCCUACCAAGGCUGCGAUGCAUAGCCGACCUGAGAGGGUGAUCGGCCACACUGGGACUGAGACACGGCCCAGACUCCUACGGGAGGCAGCAGUAGGGAAUCUUCGGCAAUGGACGCAAGUCUGACCGAGCAACGCCGCGUGAGUGAAGAAGGUUUUCGGAUCGUAAAACUCUGUUGUUAGAAAAGAACAAGGAUGAGAGUGGAAAGUUCAUCCCUUGACGGUAUCUAACCAGAAGGCCACGGCUAACUACGUG
rnacentral:rRNA from 1 species